rnacentral:tRNA from 1 species
UACAUUUUAGUAUAAAACGUACAGAAGUUUUUGAUACUUAAGGAAAUAAUUUAAUUUAUUAGGUGUAA